AUUCUGCCCAAGCGGGGAAGGAUGAGAAGCUUCGACCAAGGUUCGACUUGAGCGCCAGCGAGAGAGCGUUGCCGCAGGCAACGACCCGAAGGGC
rnacentral:sRNA from 2 species